GACGAACGCUGGCGGCGUGCUUAACACAUGCAAGUCGAACGGAAAGGCCCUGCUUUUGUGGGGUGCUCGAGUGGCGAACGGGUGAGUAACACGUGAGUAACCUGCCCUUGACUUUGGGAUAACUUCAGGAAACUGGGGCUAAUACCGGAUAGGAGCUCCUGCUGCAUGGCGGGGGUUGGAAAGUUUCGGCGGUUGGGGAUGGACUCGCGGCUUAUCAGCUUGUUGGUGGGGUAGUGGCUUACCAAGGCUUUGACGGGUAGCCGGCCUGAGAGGGUGACCGGCCACAUUGGGACUGAGAUACGGCCCAGACUCCUACGGGAGGCAGCAGUGGGGAAUAUUGCACAAUGGGCGGAAGCCUGAUGCAGCAACGCCGCGUGCGGGAUGACGGCCUUCGGGUUGUAAACCGCUUUCGCCUGUGACGAAGCGUGAGUGACGGUAAUGGGUAAAGAAGCACCGGCUAACUACGUGCCAGCAGCCGCGGUGAUACGGAGGGUGCGAGCGUUGUCCGGAUUUAUUUGGGCGUAAAGGGCUCGUAGGUGGUUGAUCGCGUCGGAAGUGUAAUCUUGGGGCUUAACCCUGAGCGUGCUUUCGAUACGGGUUGACUUGAGGAAGGUAGGGGAGAAUGGAAUUCCUGGUGGAGCGGUGGAAUGCGCAGAUAUCAGGAGGAACACCAGUGGCGAAGGCGGUUCUCUGGGCCUUUCCUGACGCUGAGGAGCGAAAGCGUGGGGAGCGAACAGGCUUAGAUACCCUGGUAGUCCACGCUGUAAACGGUGGGUACUAGGUGUGGGGUCCAUUCCACGGGUUCCGUGCCGUAGCUAACGCUUUAAGUACCCCGCCUGGGGAGUACGGCCGCAAGGCUAAAGCUCAAAGGAAUUGACGGGGCCCCGCACAAGCGGCGGAGCAUGCGGAUUAAUUCGAUGCAACGCGUAGAACCUUACCUGGGUUUGACAUGGAUCGGGAGUGCUCAGAGAUGGGUGUGCCUCUUUUGGGGUCGGUUCACAGGUGGUGCAUGGCUGUCGUCAGCUCGUGUCGUGAGAUGUUGGGUUAAGUCCCGCAACGAGCGCAACCCUUGUUCACUGUUGCCAGCACGUUAUGGUGGGGACUCAGUGGAGACCGCCGGGGUCAACUCGGAGGAAGGUGGGGAUGACGUCAGGUCAUCAUGCCCCUUAUGUCCAGGGCUUCACGCAUGCUACAAUGGCUGGUACAGAGAGUGGCGAGCCUGUGAGGGUGAGCGAAUCUCGGAAAGCCGGUCUCAGUUCGGAUUGGGGUCUGCAACUCGACCUCAUGAAGUCGGAGUCGCUAGUAAUCGCAGAUCAGCAACGCUGCGGUGAAUACGUUCCCGGG
rnacentral:rRNA from 1 species